GCGCACCAGUCGAGAACCUUUACAAUGUCUUCACGGACGAUAGGGAAUCCUGAGUGCUCUAGCAUUGCUAGAGCUUUUGCUUACUGAAAAAAGGUAGGCGAAUAAGUGGUGGGUAAGACGGGUGCCAGCCGCCGCGGUAAUACCCGCGCCACAAGUGGUGACCACGUUUAUUGGGUCUAAAGCGUUCGUAGCCGGCCUGAUAAAUUCUCGGUGAAAUCCUGUGUAAAUCAUAGGGGCGUGCCGGGAAGACUGUCAAGCUAGGAACCGGGAGAGGCUGAGGGUACUCCAGGAGUAGGGGUUAAAUGCCGUCAUGGUUUAACCCUACGGUUUAACAAUCCUGUAAUUCUUGGAGGACCACCGGUGGCGAA
rnacentral:rRNA from 1 species